rnacentral:lncRNA from 1 species
CAAUGUGAAGAUUCCGUCAUUUACCCCCCUCUGUGCCACUUGGAUUUGGAAUCUUCCGUUUUUGCUGACAUGGCAAUCCUAGGUGGCACGUGACUGGACAAAAGUGAUUACAUGGCAUGCUUACGUGGCCUUUAAUCAUUUUUGAAUUUUUUUUUUAAAAAAAUCUUUUCUAUUUUUCGUUUUCUUUUUUUACUCUUCAUCCCUACCGGCAUCACUUUACAACAACAUCAUCAAUAAAAUUCAGAAAAACAAAAUCAAAAAGAGCAACCCAUUACGAUGAUCAUUCCUUUCAAACCAUCAAAAACUACUCUAAUUUGGCUUAUGAAAAAAUAAUAAGCUUNNNNNNUGACAAGCAAAUCCCAAAUCAACAAAUCCCAAAAAAUCCAGAUUUGAAAAAAAUAAACUUUUGGAUUUUUUCACAGAUUUGAGUAACCGAAAUCUCCAAACCUUUCGAUUUUUUUCUCGAUUGUUUUUAAAAUAACAAGCAACAAGAAUCUAAUGUUCUUGAGAUUAGAUUGUUUUUCACAGAUGUUGUUCAAAUAACAGAACUUUGUUGUUAUUGAUUUGAUGAAGAUUUGAGG